UGUUAGAAUUCAAUUGAUUCAUAAACCCUAGAGUCGAUCAUGUUAAUCAUCAAGAAAAUACUUUAGCCAUAAGCGGAAGCGUACCUGAGUUUGAGUUCGCCAUAUGUGAUGAUCAAAAGUCACGGGUAUGUGUGAUCUUCCAACCGCAGAAUUCCUUAUUGGCUCCUAAAACCUCUUCUGAUGGGGAUGAAGAGAGAACUUUUUGACUGAGCGCCGUUUUCACGUUAUUCUGCAAUUGGGGACCAUAACCCCUAUAAAUAACCUUAGGGNNNNNNNNNNNNNNUUGUCUUUCAUGAUAUUUAUGCUUUUAGCCAUAGACUUAUAUAUUAUUAAUUAGACCACUGAUGCUUUGGCUAAUUACAUAAU
rnacentral:lncRNA from 1 species